rnacentral:ncRNA from 1 species
CCCGAGAUAGGGAUGUGGCUCCGUAGAGCAGUGCGGUUCUUGCGCUGUCCGGUGCGCUCGCGUCGCCCUGAAAAUCCGAGUGAGGGAGUGUGAUUUUCGUGCCGGACCGUACCCACAUCGCAGCAGGUCUGCAAGGUGAACAGCCUCUAGUCGAUGGACCAAUGUAGGUAAGGGAAGUCGGCAAAACGGAUCCGUAUCUUGGGAUAAGGAUUGGCUCUGAGGACUGAGCCGGUCGGGCUGGGGACCUGAAGCAGGAACGGCACUGCACCGGGACUGGGCGGGGCUCGCCGUUCACGCGGCGCGGCCAAGCCCGGACCAGCGUCGGGACCUUCCUGUGGAAAGCCUCAGCUGCGCGGCGUCUGAGGGCUUCGUGCCCAAAGUGCUAUGCUUCGGCCGGCAAAAAACAGUCAACUCAGAACUGGCACGGACCGGGGGAAUCCGACUGUCUAAUUAAAACAAAGCAUUGCGAUGGCCGCUGGUCGGUGUUGACGCAAUGUGAUUUCUGCCCAGUGCUCUGAAUGUCAACGUGAAGAGAUUCAUCAAAGCGCGGGUAAACGGCGGGAGUAACUAUGUCUCUGGUUGCGAAAUACUCCGUGUCGGUUGCGAAAUACUCCGUGCCGGAGGUCCUGGAGCAGGUGCGGGGGAGCCGUCAAACGGAUCCCCUUGUAUCCAGUGUCACCCUUUCCUACAGAGGUGUGUGGGCGUCCGAGAGUGCCCAGGUUCUAGCGGACCUGGGUCUCGGACGCGAAGAUUUUAAAGUCCUAACAGUGAAGUGUCUCCAGGGGGGCCUGGUGUGUUUUCGUGUUCAUCAGCAGAUGACGACUGUGGCGUACCCACGGGUGAUGGCGCGUUUGGCGCCCUAAUAGUGCCUCCGCAACUAACCCCCCCCCCCACUUUCUAACUCAGUGGGGGUUUUGAAGGUCGCUCUCCCUUGAAUGAGAGUUAUAAUACGUUUUUCUUCCUUUUGUCGGGUGUGGGGGGUGCUCACGCUUACCUGGAGAGGGCGUAACUCGGUCCCCCUAACCCCCUUUUCCUUUUCAUCUGGGGUCGGGUUGGGUUCCGUUUGGGUCCCUAGUCGGGGGGUUAACUCUCCCGAACUGGGGGCUGGA